rnacentral:lncRNA from 1 species
AAGAGGCAGGCAGUGUCCUAACAGGAGGUAUAGCACGCACAACAGCAGCUACUCAGUGAGGCUCAGAUCCUUCACCUGUGAAAGGAGCUAUAGCGUCCAUUCAACUUUAGCUCCACGUGGCCAUCUGCCCGGCUGCUCUGCGGCCUUUGGUCUCUGCGUUUGCAGUUUCUUGUCUUACUAAUUCUAGGUCUCUAGUGUAGAAGUUAAGAACUCUUAACUUUCCUUGGCUGCCAAGGCGCAGGCAGGCGACUUGGACUCUACCAGUCAGACACAUCACCUUGAGACUCCAGGAAAUUGGUCUGGGAAUGAGUGAAGAACAACUGGAAGAAAAAGAAGAAAGGCUGAUCUGGCGCACGGAGAGAAAGGGUGAUGGCUUCGCAGUUCCCCGCCCCAUCAAAGGAGCAGCAGAACUUGGCAAUUCAGCUACAUGGCUCUGGAUUUAGAGUCAAGGAUACAAAAAAGGAGAUGGUCCCCUCUCCCUCCCAGCAGCAAGAAAAGCCAGUCCAGCCUGGAAGUCCCGCCUACUUGUCCAAUGACUGGCUCCUUUAUUCAUAGGGGAUUGGUUCACAAGAAGUCACCUGAGGAAGACUCACUCCUUGUCCACAACCCUUCCAAGGAGAGCAGAAUUAGCAACAACAUACAAACAGCACCAGGCCCCUCCACAACAGUGGCCUUGUGGAAGCAUAUCACUGUGGGGGCAGACUGAGAUCUCCUAAGCUCAAGCUAAACCCAGUAUGGUAUAUAGUCUUCUUCUGCUGCCUUCAGAUAAAGCUGUAGAAUUCCCAGCUCGUUCUCCAGCACCAUGUCUGCCUGCAUGCCCCGUGCUUCCCAGUAUGAUGAUAAUGGACUGAACCUCUGAAAUUAAGUCAGCUCCAAUUAAAUGUUUGCUUUUAU